UCUUUGCCAACCAGAGAGAUUCUGUCAUUCUGUGAAUGGAGCCAUUUAUUGCAACGAGAGGUAAUCAGCAGCAAACAACCACAAAGUAAAGCCUCGAGAACAUCACGGGAACACGGAAACACUUGACUGGGAUACUGAUGGAGCCACAGGCCCGGCAGCAUUCAGGUGGGGCCAGGAGGCUGGAUGUGUGGCCCAGUGCCUUCAGCAGCACCAACACGCCGGGUUCCUGCGGGGCUGCGUCCGGCACCGGGCCCCUCACUCUGCGCUGGCUGCAGGAGCCGCCGCCCUCCUGCUGGGGUGCCCUCACCCCUGUGACGUGUGAUGGCGUCACCGAGGGUGUCAGAGAGGGGCCAUUGUGACGCAUGGGGUGUGGAGCAGAGCUCAGGCUGCGGGGCUCAGGCGGAGCUCAGUGCGACUUGGUGAGGUUGGCACGUGGAGGAGAAAGCCCAGCACUGAUGGGACAGACACUCCGCAAGUGGUUGCCGUCAACGCGCACGGUGUGCGUGGAGACACAGGAGGCCGCCGGCUCGAGGGAGCCUGCAUGCGUGCUCUGUGGCCGAGUGGAUGAGGACUCGAGCAUCCUUGGGCACAAAAAAGAGCUCGGUGGAUUCUAUUUCCAUGAGUUUUGUGCGAUGUUUGCCAAUGAUCUCUGUGAACAUGUGGAAGCUGG
ensembl:lncRNA